UGAGGAAUAUUGGUCAAUGGGCGAGAGCCUGAACCAGCCAAGUAGCGUGAGGGAUGAAGGCCCUAUGGGUCGUAAACCUCUUUUAUAUGGGAAUAAAGUUUUCCACGUGUGGAAUUUUGUAUGUACCAUAUGAAUAAGGAUCGGCUAACUCCGUGCCAGCAGCCGCGGUAAUACGGAGGAUCCGAGCGUUAUCCGGAUUUAUUGGGUUUAAAGGGAGCGUAGGUGGAUUGUUAAGUCAGUUGUGAAAGUUUGCGGCUCAACCGUAAAAUUGCAGUUGAAACUGGCAGUCUUGGGUACAGUAGAGGUGGGCGGAAUUCGUGGUGUAGCGGUGAAAUGCUUAGAUAUCACGAAGAACUCCGAUUGCGAAGGCAGCUCACUAGACUGCAACUGACACUGAUGCUCGAAAGUGUGGGUAUCAAACAGGAUUAGAUACCCUGGUAGU
rnacentral:rRNA from 1 species